rnacentral:rRNA from 1 species
CCUACGGGUGGCAGCAGUGAGGAAUAUUGGUCAAUGGCCGAGAGGCUGAACCAGCCAAGUCGCGUGAGGGAAGACUGUCCUACGGGUUGUAAACCUCUUUUGUCGGGGAGCAAAGUCAGUCACGUGUGGCUCAUUGAGAGUACCCGAAGAAAAAGCAUCGGCUAACUCCGUGCCAGCAGCCGCGGUAAUACGGAGGAUGCGAGCGUUAUCCGGAUUUAUUGGGUUUAAAGGGUGCGUAGGCGGGGUAGCAAGUCAGCGGUAAAAUCGCGGGGCUCAACCCCGUACUGCCGUUGAAACUGCAGCUCUUGAGUGCGCGAGAAGUAUGCGGAAUGCGUGGUGUAGCGGUGAAAUGCAUAGAUAUCACGCAGAACUCCGAUUGCGAAGGCAGCAUACCGGCGCGCGACUGACGCUGAUGCACGAAAGUGUGGGUAUCGAACAGGAUUAGAUACCCGAGUAGUC